rnacentral:rRNA from 1 species
AUUGAACGCUGGCGGCAGGCUUAACACAUGCAAGUCGAGCGGUAGAGGGGAGCUUGCUUCCCUUGAGAGCGGCGGACGGGUGAGUAAUGCCUAGGAAUCUGCCUGGUAGUGGGGGACAACGUUCGGAAACGGACGCUAAUACCGCAUACGUCCUACGGGAGAAAGUGGGGGAUCUUCGGACCUCACGCUAUCAGAUGAGCCUAGGUCGGAUUGAGCUAGUUGGUAGGGUAAAGGCCUACCAAGGCGACGAUCCGGAACUGGUCUGAGAGGAUGAUCAGUAACACUGGAACUGAGACACGGUCCAGACUCCUACGGGAGGCAGCAGUGGGAAAUGUUGGACAAUGUGCGCAAGCCUGAUCCAGCCAUGCCGCGUGUGUGAAGAAGGUCUUCGGAUUGUAAAGCACUUUAAGUUGGGAGGAAGUUCAGUAAGUUAAUACCUUGUUGAAUUGACGUUACCGACAGAAUAAGCACCGGCUAACUCUGUGCCAGCAGCCGCAGUAAAAC